rnacentral:rRNA from 1 species
AUUGAACGCUGGCGGCAUGCUUUACACAUGCAAGUCGAACGGUAACAGGCCGCAAGGUGCUGACGAGUGGCGAACGGGUGAGUAAUGCAUCGGAACGUGCCCAGUCGUGGGGGAUAACGCAGCGAAAGCUGUGCUAAUACCGCAUACGAUCUAUGGAUGAAAGCGGGGGGACCGUAAGGCCUCGCGCGAUUGGAGCGGCCGAUGUCAGAUUAGGUAGUUGGUGGGGUAAAGGCUCACCAAGCCAACGAUCUGUAGCUGGUCUGAGAGGACGACCAGCCACACUGGGACGGAGACACGGCCCAGACUCCUACGGGAGGCAGCAGUGGGGAAUUUUGGACAAUGGGCGCAAGCCUGAUCCAGCAAUGCCGCGUGCAGGAAGAAGGCCUUCGGGUUGUAAACUGCUUUUGUACGGAACGAAACGGUCUGGGUUAAUACCCUGGGCUAAUGACGGUACCGUAAGAAUAAGCACCGGCUAACUACGUGCCAGCCGCCGCCGUAAAAC